AGUGAACGCUGGCGGUAGGCCUAACACAUGCAAGUCGAACGGCAGCACAGUAAGAGCUUGCUCUUACGGGUGGCGAGUGGCGGACGGGUGAGGAAUACAUCGGAAUCUACUUUUUCGUGGGGGUUAACGUAGGGAAACUUACGCUAAUACCGCAUACGACCUACGGGUGAAAGCAGGGGAUCUUCGGACCUUGCGCGAUUGAAUGAGCCGAUGUCGGAUUAGCUAGUUGGCGGGGUAAAGGCCCACCAAGGCGACGCUCCGUAGCUGGUCUGAGAGGAUGAUCAGCCAAACUGGAACUGAGAAACGGUCCAGACUCCUACGGGAGGCAGCAGUGGGGAAUAUUGGACAAUGGGCGCAAGCCUGAUCCAGCAAUACCGCGUGGGUGAAGAAGGCCUUCGGGUUGUAAAGCCCUUUUGUUGGGAAAGAAAAGCAGCAGGUUAAUACCCCGCUGUUCUGACGGUACCCAAAGAAUAAGCACCGGCUAACUUCGUG
rnacentral:rRNA from 1 species